AACUAUUCCUCCAGCCAGUGAAGGGCACCAAAGUUCUAAGAAGUAAACUUGUCUGUAUACACUUAACACAACACAAUAAACAAUCCCAACACUCACUAGGUACAUUACACAGCCAAGCCAAACAAUCUCAUAGCCAUCAAGAAAAUUAAAUACUUAACUAAAGAUCUCACAUCAAAUUGAAUAGAGUGAUGAGUCCACUACUAACAGAAAAAAACCGCAUGUCAGCAGAGGAUCAGCAUCAACGCUAUCAGUUGGUACGUUUAGUACUAAAAUGUACUCUAUCACUCAUUACCACUUGUAGUGAAGAGUGAUGAGGAAUCAGCGUCGACGGUGAUCUGGCAAUGAGGCGUUAUCAUCAGCGUCGUUUAAAACUCAGAUCGAACUCGUCUGCUUAGGUGUUAAAGCGCAUUCGAGAACAUCCAUCGUUAUCAGUUGCCGGUUAAUCGUCCAGCAGGCUGUGCCUAAUUUCUUUAUUUGCACCAGACAAAAGUGAUAGUGGAUCGGGAGUUUAUCUUGAACGAUCAAAUAUUCACAUGUGCCUGACCGGUAGCGCAGCUUCAAGGCUGAUAUUAAUUCUCGCGCGAGUGGUGAAAAUUGGUUUACGAUCAUUAAGAUUUUCGCAAAGUGAAUAUCAGCAAGUUACUUGGUGGCUUGAUAAAGUACCUAUAAGCCUUUAUAUUCACUUUUUGCUUAUGGAUCCAAAGAUGCGGAACUAAGUUCCAUUGUGUGGUAUAGAGAUCGACCUAUUUAAUCCCGGGGCUUGAACAGACUUCCAAGAUGGCAAACUAAGUACAAUGGUUCCAGAAGCCUAUCCAUGUACAAAGGAUUUUGGCUUGAACUGCAUGUGCAUGCGAAAGAAGAUGGCGGACGUCGCGGGAUACACUAGAAUUUAAGAUACACUCAUACGUACACACACACACACAAUUAGUUUUUAGGUUCUUUUUUUAUUAUUAGUAAGUUUUAAAAUAGCAUAUAAGUAGUUAGGGUAAGUUUUAAAAAAAUGAAGCAUGAAUUAAAAAUCAACGAAUUUUAAAUGCCAAACACUCAUUUUCUUUUGAAAUUAUUUUGUAAAACUAUGAUUCCCGUAG